CGUGGACGAACUGCCGUAUACUGGGGGAUAACACUUAGAAUAGGUGCUAAUACCGCAUAAGCGCACAGCUUCGCAUGAAGCAGUGUGGAAAACAAAAAGCUAAAGCUUUUGGUGGUAUACGAUGGAUCCGCGUCUGAUUAGCUUGUUGGCGGGGUAAAGGCCCACCAAGGCGACGAUCAGUAGCCGGCCUGAGAGGGUGAACGGCCACAUUGGGACUGAGACACGGCCCAAACUCCUACGGAAGGCAGCAG
rnacentral:rRNA from 1 species